UUUAGCAGCUGUACCACCUGCAGUUCAGCCCAGCUUAUCCACCUGAAGCCAAGCAGGUUUGGCCCUGGCCAGUAUUUAGAUAGUAGACCAAUUGGGAGAGCUGGGUUGCUGCUGCAG
rnacentral:rRNA from 1 species